UUCUGGGCUACACACGUGCUACAAUGGCCGGUACAGACGGACGCAAAGCCGCGAGGUGGAGCAAAUCCUAAAAAGCCGGUCUCAGUUCGGAUUGCAGGCUGCAAUUCGCCUGCAUGAAGUCGGAAUCGCUAGUAAUCGCAGGUCAGCAUACUGCGGUGAAUACGUUCCCGGGCCUU
rnacentral:rRNA from 1 species